GAAUCUUCCGCAAUGGACGCAAGUCUGACGGAGCAACGCCGCGUGAGUGAAGAAGGUUUUCGGAUCGUAAAACUCUGUUGUCGGAGAAGAACACGUAAGCGAGUAACUGCGCUUACCAUGACGGUACCCGACCAGACAGCCACGGCUAACUACGUGCCAGCAGCCGCGGUAAUACGUAGGGGGCAAGCGUUGGCCGGAAUUAUUGGGCGUAAAGCGCGCGCAGGCGGUUCUUUAAGUCUGAUGUGAAAGCCCACGGCUCAACCGUGGAGGGUCAUUGGAAACUGGAGAACUUGAGUACAGAAGAGGAAAGCGGAAUUCCACGUGUAGCGGUGAAAUGCGUAGAGAUGUGGAGGAACACCAGUGGCGAAGGCGGCUUUCUGGUCUGUAACUGACGCUGAGGCGCGAAAGCGUGGGGAGCAAAC
rnacentral:rRNA from 1 species